rnacentral:rRNA from 1 species
GCGAACGCUGGCGGCGUGCCUAACACAUGCAAGUCGAGCGAAGGCAUGAGUGUAACGAUACACUGAUGUACUUAGCGGCGGACGGGUGAGUAACACGUGGAUAAUCUGCCCUGAGGACCGGGACAAGUCUUGGAAACGGGAGCUAAUACCGGAUGUGACCACGAUGUCUGAGGACGUUGAGGUAAAAGGGUGGCCUGCAAGGGCUAUUGCCUUGGGAUGAG